CCUGCCCAGAAGCGGGGGAUAACAGCUGGAAACAGAUGCUAAUACCGCAUAACAACUUGGACCGCAUGGUCCGAGUUUGAAAGAUGGCUUCGGCUAUCACUUUUGGAUGGUCCCGCGGCGUAUUAGCUAGAUGGUGGGGUAACGGCUCACCAUGGCAAUGAUACGUAGCCGACCUGAGAGGGUAAUCGGCCACAUUGGGACUGAGACACGGCCCAAACUCCUACGGGAGGCAGCAGUAGGGAAUCUUCCACAAUGGACGAAAGUCUGAUGGAGCAACGCCGCGUGAGUGAAGAAGGGUUUCGGCUCGUAAAACUCUGUUGUUAAAGAAGAACAUAUCUGAGAGUAACUGUUCAGGUAUUGACGGUAUUUAACCAGAAAGCCACGGCUAACUACGUGCCAGCAGCCGCGGUAAUACGUAGGUGGCAAGCGUUGUCCGGAUUUAUUGGGCGUAAAGCGAGCGCAGGCGGUUUUUUAAGUCUGAUGUGAAAGCCUUCGGCUCAACCGAAGAAGUGCAUCGGAAACUGGGAAACUUGAGUGCAGAAGAGGACAGUGGAACUCCAUGUGUAGCGGUGAAAUGCGUAGAUAUAUGGAAGAACACCAGUGGCGAAGGCGGCUGUCUGGUCUGUAACUGACGCUGAGGCUCGAAAGUAUGGGUAGCAAACAGGAUUAGAUACCCUGGUAGUCCAUACCGUAAACGAUGAAUGCUAAGUGUUGGAGGGUUUCCGCCCUUCAGUGCUGCAGCUAACGCAUUAAGCAUUCCGCCUGGGGAGUACGGCCGCAAGGCUGAAACUCAAAGGAAUUGACGGGGGCCCGCACAAGCGGUGGAGCAUGUGGUUUAAUUCGAAGCUACGCGAAGAACCUUACCAGGUCUUGACAUACUAUGCAAAUCUAAGAGAUUAGACGUUCCCUUCGGGGACAUGGAUACAGGUGGUGCAUGGUUGUCGUCAGCUCGUGUCGUGAGAUGUUGGGUUAAGUCCCGCAACGAGCGCAACCCUUAUUAUCAGUUGCCAGCAUUAAGUUGGGCACUCUGGUGAGACUGCCGGUGACAAACCGGAGGAAGGUGGGGAUGACGUCAAAUCAUCAUGCCCCUUAUGACCUGGGCUACACACGUGCUACAAUGGAUGGUACAACGAGUUGCGAACUCGCGAGAGUAAGCUAAUCUCUUAAAGCCAUUCUCAGUUCGGAUUGUAGGCUGCAACUCGCCUACAUGAAGUCGGAAUCGCUAGUAAUCGCGGAUCAGCAUGCCGCGGUG
rnacentral:rRNA from 2 species